UUCAACGAGUUUUUCUUUCCUCUAGUACAUUCUAUUACAUGUGAUUUGUUAGGUAUUCCUAUGUUUUAUUGUUUUCAACCCCUAUACUAGUUGGAUUAAAUUUUGGGUAAAACAAUCUUUGAGUUACUUGCUUCAAUCACUUUAUUCUCUACAUAACAAAUAACAAUAUACAUCAAGGUGGACGAUAUAACCUGUAGGCACCGAACUUGCGAGUUAUAGUUAUGUUCUGAGGUGCGGAAGAGAAGCUUGGUGUCUGUUUGAGGAAUUGAUGGUUCAUAGAUAAGCGAUGCAAAC
rnacentral:lncRNA from 1 species